rnacentral:rRNA from 1 species
GACGAACGCUGGCGGCGUGCCUAAUACAUGCAAGUCGAGCGGACAGAAGGGAGCUUGCUCCCGGAUGUUAGCGGCGGACGGGUGAGUAACACGUGGGUAACCUGCCUGUAAGACUGGGAUAACUCCGGGAAACCGGAGCUAAUACCGGAUAGUUCCUUGAACCGCAUGGUUCAAGGAUGAAAGACGGUUUCGGCUGUCACUUACAGAUGGACCCGCGGCGCAUUAGCUAGUUGGUGGGGUAAUGGCUCACCAAGGCGACGAUGCGUAGCCGACCUGAGAGGGUGAUCGGCCACACUGGGACUGAGACACGGCCCAGACUCCUACGGGAGGCAGCAGUAGGGAAUCUUCCGCAAUGGACGAAAGUCUGACGGAGCAACGCCGCGUGAGUGAUGAAGGUUUUCGGAUCGUAAAGCUCUGUUGUUAGGGAAGAACAAGUGCGAGAGUAACUGCUCGCACCUUGACGGUACCUAACCAGAAAGCCACGGCUAACUACGUGCCAGCAGCCGCGGUAAUACGUAGGUGGCAAGCGUUGUCCGGAAUUAUUGGGCGUAAAGGGCUCGCAGGCGGUUUCUUAAGUCUGAUGUGAAAGCCCCCGGCUCAACCGGGGAGGGUCAUUGGAAACUGGGAAACUUGAGUGCAGAAGAGGAGAGUGGAAUUCCACGUGUAGCGGUGAAAUGCGUAGAGAUGUGGAGGAACACCAGUGGCGAAGGCGACUCUCUGGUCUGUAACUGACGCUGAGGAGCGAAAGCGUGGGGAGCGAACAGGAUUAGAUACCCUGGUAGUCCACGCCGUAAACGAUGAGUGCUAAGUGUUAGGGGGUUUCCGCCCCUUAGUGCUGCAGCUAACGCAUUAAGCACUCCGCCUGGGGAGUACGGUCGCAAGACUGAAACUCAAAGGAAUUGACGGGGGCCCGCACAAGCGGUGGAGCAUGUGGUUUAAUUCGAAGCAACGCGAAGAACCUUACCAGGUCUUGACAUCCUCUGACAACCCUAGAGAUAGGGCUUUCCCUUCGGGGACAGAGUGACAGGUGGUGCAUGGUUGUCGUCAGCUCGUGUCGUGAGAUGUUGGGUUAAGUCCCGCAACGAGCGCAACCCUUGAUCUUAGUUGCCAGCAUUCAGUUGGGCACUCUAAGGUGACUGCCGGUGACAAACCGGAGGAAGGUGGGGAUGACGUCAAAUCAUCAUGCCCCUUAUGACCUGGGCUACACACGUGCUACAAUGGACAGAACAAAAGGGCUGCAAGACCGCAAGGUUUAGCCAAUCCCAUAAAUCUGUUCUCAGUUCGGAUCGCAGUCUGCAACUCGACUGCGUGAAGCUGGAAUCGCUAGUAAUCGCGGAUCAGCAUGCCGCGGUGAAUACGUUCCCGGGCCUUGUACACACCGCCCGUCACACCACGAGAGUUUGCAACACCCGAAGUCGGUGAGGUAACCUUUAUGGAGCCAGCCGCCGAAGGUGGGGCAGAUGAUUGGGGUGAAGUCGUAACAAGGUAGCCGUAUCGGAAGGUGCGGCUGGAUCACCUCCUUUCUAAGGAUAUAUGGAGCAGCGUACGUUUUCGUCUUGUUUAGUUUUGAAGGAUCAUUCCUUCAAAACAUGUCUCUAGCGAGACAGGAUUGUUCUUUGAAAACUAGAUAACAAUAAGUAAUACAUUCACAUUGAAUGCAAUGCAAAGUUCAUCACACAUAGUGAUUCUUUCUAAAGUAAGAAAUGGUUAAGUUAGAAAGGGCGCACGGUGGAUGCCUUGGCACUAGGAGCCGAUGAAGGACGGGACGAACACCGAUAUGCUUCGGGGAGCUGUAAGCAAGCUUUGAUCCGGAGAUUUCCGAAUGGGGAAACCCACUGCUCGUAAUGGAGUAGUAUCCAUACUUGAAUACAUAGAGUAUGAGAAGGCAUACCCGGG